GUAAUGUGUAUCGUGGUCGUUUGAACGUUGCUACAGUCGUAUCACGGUUGCCCGUUUUUUACUUACUCUGCAUGUAAUAUCAUACAUUACAUACACAAAGUACCUCAGUUAUAAUACGUAUAUAUAUAUAUAUACGUGUUUAUGUCAUGUACAGGUUUACUUUGGAUUUGUGUAGAAUGUUGGUUUCGUCAAAAACGGAAUAAACUCGGGUGUGCGGGUUUUCGAGACGGUAGCAUUAACAAUAAUAUUAAUAUUAAGUAACAUAAAAACGCGGCAGUAUUCGGGAUUGUCGAAUAAAAUAAUAAUUUAAGUCGCGUUUUAUACUUUACCCGGCUAUUGUAUAUGUAUACAUGUCUAUUACAUUAUAAUAUUAUCAUCGACGUGUUUUUCCGUGUAAUACGAAUAUCGGUUUAAAUACAUUUCUAUAGUGUCGACAACGGUACAUCGGCAAUAAUUAUUAUAGUGUAGCUGUGUAAAAAGCCUACCUAUACCCAUACAAUAUUAUAAUAUAAUAUAUUAACAGAAAUAAUUGUAAUUUAUUAUUAUUAUUAUUGUUAAAUCACACACUCGCACGCUGAUGAUCAUUUUAGUAUAAUAAUACUAGAAAUGGAGAGUGAUGAUGAUUAUUAUACCGUUUCGGAGUGUCUAAGUUCAAAAGUUUCUUCAUAUGGAUCAUGUACGCCUAUCGCUUCUGAUCAAGAUGAAGAAUUUGAUACGGACACUGUCGUCCGAGAAGUGUUGCAGACUAGAAAAUUAAUGCUUUCGCCUGUUCGAGGAUGUGUGGAAACUAGUGAAUAUAUUUAUAAAGAUACGCCAAUACUGCGAACUGAAAAACAGCCUAAAUGUCGUGACGUUUUAGAAUUAAAAGUUCUCGAACUAUGCCCGGAACUUACGUUGCUCGGGGAGACGUUGGAAGAGGCCUCGAGCUUACAGGCCGAACACGAGAGAGUGUUGGAAAAAAUACAGGAAAAGCAGAGUCCCGUCAACGAGUUGUUGAAGAAAGCCGAUUAUCUAAUAGCUACACAGAACACGCAGCCCCAGGUGUAUGCCGCUAUGGCCGAUUCGCUGGGAUUAGCCUGGAAAGACGUAAACGAUGUACUUCAAAAGAGAAGUUACUUGUUACACCUGAACGUUGAAUAUCACCGACAAGCUGAAGUAUGCAUGGAACGAAUCGGAACUUUGGAAAUGAUGUGCCACAGUUACCUGCCGACCGACGUCGAAUCGAUCAAAAACCAUCUGGAGCAUAUCCAGGAAGUCCGCAAGUCUAUACUGGAAGCGCUAAUGGUCGCUUUGGGCAAUGGCACGCAGCUACUGGACGUUUUGAAAGAGAUGCAAGCCAAAGGAACCCUGGAUUCGAGGCCGGGAUAUAAUUAUCAUUCUAUUUCAUUAGCCGUGUCUCAAGUAGAACAUUGGUUGGAGAAACUUCACGAUAAACGUCAUUCGUUGGACAUUGACUGUCACGAACGUAAGACAAUGUUGGAAAAACGACUGACAAUAUCUUUACUAGUCACCGAUCUAAAUUUACUUGAAAACAUACUAUCUGAAAGAAGAAAUUCUCUGGAAAGAGUUAAAAAUUGUCUAGGCGACUCCCAGUAUGAAUGUUCUAAAUUUACGGAAGUCAAUUCGAACUUGAUAACCGAAGCAAAGGAUAUAAGAGACCAAGCGCUGAGGGUUGCAAGAGCCACCGAACAACUGGUAUUAACUAAAGGCUACAUGGAAGAGGAUUAUAAAUUUAAAGCGUAUAAACUAUUAGAAUUAGCUACCGAAUACUUGGAAGAACUAAAUAGAAGAGAAACUCUUUUAGAUGCCGCUAUGAAAUUUUUCGAGUCGGCUGAAAAAGUUCUCCGAGCAUGGGAAACCAUACUUCAGCAUUCAUCCGAUGAGCAAUUGGCAUCAAAGAACACGUACGUUACAGAGACGGUAAAGCGAACCGGCGCCUCAGUAAUUCAAGAAGGAAAUUUAAUACUGAAAGACUUACCAGAGGCAGAGGGCGUUAAACGGGUUGUAGACGAGUUGGAAAGGAAAAAACAGCUAAUACUGUCAAUUGUUAUGAAAGACCGCGACAAAUAUAUGGAAUCUUCAGAAGCAGUCAACACGUUUUCAGAGAAUUAUAAUAAAAUAUUUUCCUGGCUUGUAAGUUUAGCUGAAUCGUUUUUACACGAACAUAAUUCUAUGGGUACAAAUCUCACGGAAGCGCGAGAGUUUUUAAUAUCCCAUAAAACUUUACAAAGAGAUCUAAGGACUCGAGGGAUCGACAUUAACGCAUUGGUAAACUCGACUAGUCUGCCACCGUUAACGUACAUCGAUGCUGAAACAAGAGUCGAUCUGGAAGGCAAAUCAAUCGUGUUAAAAGACCAUUGGACUUAUUUGGAUAGAAUAUUGGAAUGGAGGAUACAAUUGUCCGAGUUGUAUGUCAAAUUUUACACGUCGUGUGAACAUUUGAACAUCGAAUUUUCAAACUUGGACUCGAUCAUUGGAGAUCACGUCGACGUGUCUGAUCAAAGACUAGAUUCGGCGCACAAGUAUUGGACAAACAUUUUACAAUUGUAUAUCCAACUUAAGAACACAGGAGAAAAGUUUUUGCAUCAAAGUUCAAAAUCGGAGGACGCUCAUCUGGAACUAGACGUAGCACGGGACCGCGUGCGAUCGCUACUGGACACGUUCGUGGACAGGAAAACGAGAACUACUUCCGUCUGGGAGACUUGGCAGCGGGCAUCGGCUGAAAACAAACUGGAUAAAGUGCUCUGGUCGGAGACGAUGUGCGAGAGCAGCAAGACAGUAGAUUGGGUUUCCAAAUUGGAAUCUCAAUUAUAUCCAGUUUUGAAAUCUGAGCCGUCAUCAGUUGAUCGACAUAUUUCAGAGGUUAAACAGAAGUUAAAUAAUGUUCUACCGGAAGUUCAAAGGGCUCAAGACGAUAUCGAGUCCAGAAUAAAAACAGCCGAAGAACUUAUUGGAAAAGGAAAUAUUCAAGGUGAUAAUAUUUCUAUACCUCCAAGGUUAAAAGAACUUCAUAGCCGUCUUGUUGGAAUCACUACAGAGUAUCAAAAUCUUUUAGAUAUGUUCUUAUCAUUUUUUAAUUCUCUACAAGAAUUUCACGAUAUUGUGAAAGAAUCUGAAAGAGGUAGGCCCACCGACAUUUUCAACCAUCAAUUGAACGAAGUAGAAGAGCUCCUUAAGAAACACAACCAAUCAAGACAAACAGUUUUAGAUAGUUUUAAAACUGUUUAUGCUGAAAAUAUUCGUUUAAUGGAUAAAAUUAAGCAACAGGAACCUCAAAAAUCUGGAGAGCAAGAUAUGUAUGUAGUUCGUUAUUUGAUGGAAAAUGAAAGAAACCUUUGGGAUCAAUCAUGUGAAACUUAUUGUCAAAGAAUCGAACAACAGCAACAAUUAAGUCAGUUUGACAAUGAUCUCAUUCAGAUCAACAAUAAUUUAAAUGAUCUUUCACAACAACUGUCAUCUACGCGAGGGCAAUAUGGUGCAAAUUUAGCAUCUGCCAAGUCAGCUUCACUUGCCUUUCAUUAUUUCGAAAAAACUAUAUUACUUUUAGAACAACGAAUCGAAACAUUCAUUAACGCAGCAAACUCAUUGAUGAACUUUGAUCAUAAUAAGUCUGAACACAUCCGAGAAGAAUUAAAUAAACUGAAGUCAAGAUGGGAUACGUUCCAAGCACAAGUGUUAGAAAGUCGUAACCAUAUUGAUCUGUGUGUUCAAUAUUUUACGUUAAUUAAUGAAGCACAAGAUUGGUUCCACGAAGGAAGUAUACUUCUUAUGAACAUUGCUCGAAAAUCAACCGAAGUCAAAACAAGCGAAGAAGCUUCAGCAUUAUUAAAAGAAAUUGAAAUAUUUUUAAAACCUGGUGAUAUAAGACAAGAUGAGAGAUUAAAUCAAAUACACGAACUUAGCGUUCAACUUUUUGGAGAACAUGCAAUAGCUGAAGUACCUCAAGUUGUUACAGAAAAUAAAGAGCUACUUGAUUCAUUCUCAUUGAUUGCAAAAGAAUUAAAGUCUUUUGACGAUAAGCUUAAAUCUAGAGAAAAAUAUGAAAUAAAUAAUGAAGUUAAUCAAAUAAUUACUGAUACGUACGAAGAAAUAAUAACAUCCACAUCAAUGACUAAUGGCGUGUCACAAAAUGAAGGUAAUGUUCCAUUAUCAAAGAAAAUAAAACUCGAAGAAAUCCAUAAACCCAAACCUACGAUAAUUCUACCAUUGCAAGAUAACACGGUUGAUGAAGGGAAACAGUUUACAUUUGAAUGCAGCAUUGAAGGGGAACCUUCAAAAGUAACCUGGUUCAAGGACAACAUUUCCAUCGACAAUAAUCCAGAUUAUCAGACAUCUAAAAUUGAUAAUCGAUAUAUAUUGAGAAUCGAGGAAACGUUUGUAGAAGAUUCAGCAAAAUUUACAUGUCGGGCCGAAAACGAUUCUGAUUUUAUUGAAACAAGUGCAUAUCUUUCAGUUAAAGAAUGUGCACCUGAACACCAAAUUAGUCCAUCUGUAUUUACAAAACUACUAUCAGAUUUGCUAGUAAAAGAAGGCGAUGCUUGUUCGUUAUCUUGCAAAGCAGAAGGUAAUCCACUCCCAACAGUGCAGUGGUUUAAAGAUGACAUUUGUAUCGAUAAUAGCCCUCAAUACCAAAUUACAUAUAAUAAUGGCGAAGCAUUAUUAAAAAUUGAACACACCAAUUCGUCUACCCACAGUGGAAAAUAUACUUGUGUUGCAACUAACAGACUUGGUUCAGAUUCAACUGCGUCAAAGUUAUUAAUUGAUGCUCUGGAAAAGCCUGAAGAUGGGCCAACGUUUGUUGUACCUCUAUCCAAUGUAAUGGCUAGAGCCGGUCAAAAAUUGAAAUUGGAAUGUGAAGUUGAAACAAAUAAGCCACCGAUAUUAAUUUGGUUCCAUAAUGGGAAAGUCAUGAAAGAAAUAAAAGAUUUCAAGGUUUCUGAAAAUCGUGGAAAAAUUAAUUUAAUCAUUCCGGAAGCCUUUCCCAAAGACGCUGGCACUUACAGUUUAACAAUCAAAACGGAACAGGGUGAAGCGACCAGUAGUUGUCAAGUAUCGGUGAAAGGUAUACUCCCAAAUGAAACUUCCGAUUCGGAAAUUGCAAGUGAUUUGGAACCGAUCAAACCGUCAAUACCGUUACUUUUAAAAGAACAAACCGUUUUAGAAGGCAAAAGUGUUCAUUUGAAAUGCAUAAUUGUUGGACAACCCGAACCAGAGGUAAUAUGGUAUCAUGACGGAAGACCCGUUAAAGAAUCCAAAGACAUUCAACUUUUAUUCCAAGGUGAUCAGUGUUCACUUGUAAUCAAGGAGGCUUUUAUCGAAGACGCGGGUGAAUACAAAGUAGUGGCUAUUAACUCGGCAGGAGAAGCAAGCAGCACAUGCGUGUUAAGUGUCGAGCCUAAAGCAGUACCAGAUAUAGACGAACUAGUAGUUUCACCAAAGUUCACUAAGCUGCUGUCGGACGUAUUAGUGAGGGAAGGUGAUUCUAUUACUCUAGAAUGUAAUGCCGAAGGUUGUCCGAAACCCGAAUUUAAAUGGAUUAGGAACACUGUGGAAAUCAAGCCCGACCAAAGGAUAACAUUGAGUUCGGACGAAGAUGGUACGGCGACUCUUCACAUACAUAACGCUUUGUCCGUGGACAAAGGACAGUACACCGUGAGAGCCGUGAAUAAAGCCGGAGAAGCCAAAUGUUUUUCGCACGUGAUUGUAAAAGCCAUUUCGACGUUUGAUACCGCGGUCAACCCACCGACGGACAAAGUCCAAUUCGAAGAAAAGUUGGAAAAACCAUCAUUUACCGAGACGUUUCCGUCAGUCGUGAAUGCAUUCACCGGCGAAAGUGUGAAAUUCGAAUGCAUCGUUGUUGGCAAACCCGCUCCAAAGGUCCGUUGGCUUUUCAACGAGAAGCCGGUGAGUGGAAAAUCGUUUUUGGUGUCUACCAGUGGCGAUCGUCAGGUACUCACCAUCCCCGAAGCGGACACCGGGCACGGCGGAAUAGUCGAGUGCGUGGCCGAGAACGAAGCAGGCAAAUGCAAAUGUGUGUCUUCGCUUAAAAUAAAAGAAAGCGAAGCUGUUCCAUUAACCAUGGCCUACAACGGCGGCGGUGAUUUAAAACAUACGGUUUCCGAAGUUUAUGAAUCCAGUUCGAAAUUCGAGUCGAAACAAUCGACGUUCGUGUCGUCAUCGUCGUCGAUCAGCGGUGACAACGCUCCUAAAUUUAAAUUGGACUCUUUCAGUUUACAGUCGGAAAAACAAAGUAGGCAGUUUGGAGACAACGCUCCAAUACAGUCUGAAUCUUUACGAACGGAAGAGUACCACAACACGGACGGAAAGCAAAGUCAACAUGUGAGUGAUCUGAGUUCCACCAACGUAUCCGAAGAACAUCAAACUUCAUUUUUCGAACGUGGACUGUACAACCAAAGCGGGCUCGUUAAGGACGCCUCACAAAAAUCUUUGCUCGAAAGAAACAUUUCGAAACAAUCAAGGAAAGAAAUGGCACCGCGUUUCGUGUCGGCUCCACAAGGAAAAAUCGCUGAACAGGGAAAAGACGUAUUUUUGGAUGCUAUAAUAGACAGUUAUCCGCCAUCUGACAUCACGUGGAGCAAAAACGGUAUCGACUUGGUUCCCGACGGUGUGAAAUUGAAAAUAACCAGCGAAGUCAACAAAACUCGGUUGGACAUUAAACGUCUAACUGUGGAAGACGGUGGCCAAUAUACGUGCAAGGCUAUGAACACCGCUGGGGGCACGAGUUGUACAACAGACGUCAUUGUUAAAAAAAACGUAUUUCCACCGGUCAUGUGUCGAAGACUUUUACCGAACACGGUCGCUGAAGGCGAAAGAGUAGUUUUAGAAAUUGAAGUGGCCGGUACGCCCGAACCAACAGUGAGUUGGUUUAAAAAUAAUCAACCACUAUCGGCCACGUCGAGUUUAUACAGAUUAAGACAACAGGGGUCUUGUAGUGCCGUAGUUAUCGAUAAAGCUACUACAGAACAUGCUGGAGAGUACAAAGUUAUGGCGAAAAACGAAGGCGGGGAGGCUGUAAGUUGUGCCGAUUUGAGAGUGGUUCAGCCUUUACCCGAUAUCGGAUUAAAUUUGUUACCCACUUAUGCACCGAAUGACAACACGGAUAAAGUGAAUGUGGAUUACUCCAAAAGUAUUGUACCGACAAAUCAAUCGAAGCAAUUUAAUAUUACUAGCAAAACAGAAGAGAAAUCACAUUUUUCUAAAUCUGUCUUCGUUCAAGAAUCGAUAAACAGCAGUAAGGAUGUAAUUAUGACUGUUAACCGCUCUGAAGCAAAUGACUUUGAUUUAAAUUCGAAUAAUGCAAACGCUAAUUAUGAAAAUACUGAAAAACAGAUAUCUGUUCAAAACGAAAAUAUCGAAAAUGCAUCGAUAACGAAAAAAAGUGCACUCCAGUUCUUUAAAAAUGUCAUUGAAGAUAAUAAAGUUGAAAAGUCUAGUAAUUCAACUAUUCCGCCAUCAGCAGGAAUUUAUAAAAGAGAAAGUCCCAUAGAUAAUUCAAGUAAUUUUGCAUCCGAUGUUCAUAAUAAGACGUAUAAUAUUGAAGAAAACGUAUCAAGUAGCUCAUUUAAACAGUCAAACGACACGGAAGUCAUUUUAGAACCAGGUCCACCGCCCACUUUUGAUUAUAUGCCAAGAGCGCAAUCUGUAAAAAAAGAUCAAAUGACCGAACGGUUGAGAAGACUAUCAACAAAUCAAAAAUUAUUAUCACCCGAACAAAUUCCGUCCGGCGCUGUUAGAAUAUUUCCUGACGUAACCUCUGAGAUAAAACAAGAAGUUGUUGAGGAAAGUUGUAUAAAAAAAGAAGUUAUUAAAUCUGGGUUAUCCGAAGACACAAUAGCACACACACAUUUGCCUACAUCCUAUACGCCACUGCCACACAGUGAACCUCAUGUUCCACUUUUGAGACCCCAAGCCGACAUAGAAGUGAGACCAGGAUCUCCAAGACCUUCUGCAGAAGCUAUUUCUAUGGAAAAGCUAUGGACAAAAGGGCAUACUCCACAUGUUCAAAAAACUCCAGUAUCGUAUUCACCGAUUCAUAUGAAAACAUAUUCAUCGACGGAAAGCCAAUCGUUUGUUUCAGAGACCAUUGAAAAAAAUGGUGAACUGGUAAAAAAUGAAAGCAGAGAAGAGAAACAAGGUAGUCUAAAAAUAGACGAUGGUGUUAAAAAAGUUUCAGAAUCGUUUUCAGAAAUAUCAAUUCGUCCGACGAAACACGUCGAACCACCACGAAAUGAAAUUAAACGCCCAGCAUCAGCACAUUUGUUUAAUGAAGUAAAGUCUAAAGAUGCGUUCUUCGGCAACAAAGUCCAAACACAACAUUUUUCUGAAGAAUCGUCACAAAUUAAAAAAAGUUCAAUGUUUGACGUGAAAUCAAAUAUUUCUGAAAAAGUAGAAAGAAACAGUUCCAAUGUAAAAUCUGAACAUCAAUUGCAAAAUAAUCAAUCGUUUGAUAGAAAUAUGCAAAACACAUAUCAAUUUUUACCAGAACGUUCAAUAGGUCCAAUAAAACACGUGGAACCACCGAACAACAGCAAGAUAAUUUCUAAUUUUACACGGUCACACAGCGUAGAAACUGCCAAGGAAAAGCAAUGGUUGUCUCAAUCACCGGUAGCUUUUAGAGGACCGCCUCAAAAUAAAACGUAUUCAUCGUUUGAAGCGCAUUCAAGUUUUUCAAAAACCUUAGAAAAGGACGGAGUGUUAGUAGCCUCCGAACAUAACGAAGAAGGCGGUCGAGUAGUGGACGACGGCGUUCAAAAAGCAUAUGAUUCAUUUUCAGAACGUUCAAAAUUACCGACAAAGUUUGUGGACCUUUCAAAAAAUACUAAUAAAUCAAAUUCUAUAAAAACCAUGCAAAAAAUGUUCGAGCAGACUGGUUCGUCGUCUACGGUCUCUAAUGUUGGUUCAAACGUAAGACCAUACAGUAGAAUUAAGUCCCGAGCAAGUGAUAGCGAUUUCGAAAGUGAAGCGGAAUUGUCAAAAUACAACGUAGAGCAAAAAGUUUCAGAAAGUUUUAACAGUUUUGAAACGAAAAUGUAUUCUUCAAAAACUCAAUUACAAGAAAUUAAAAACACUUCGAUAAUCAUGCAAAGUCCGAUUAAGGAAAGUGGUUACGCGGCUGACACGGACGAGCCAAGGGGAUUUCAGAGCGAAUCGGUAGUUAAUAAUCAAACGUUUAACUCCAAAAGGAAUUCGGGGUUUCAAAGCACUUCAAUAAAGAAGAUGGAACCGUUAUUAGCCCCGUUUACCAAAAAGAACUGAACGCCGCCGAACACUCGGAUCCAUCGCACAGUUCACCUUUCUUCGUAACCCCGUUAAAAGACAUAGCUGUAGUUAGCGGCAAGACUGCCAGAUUCGAGUGCAUAGUGCAAGGUGAACCCGUCAGUGAAAUCGUGUGGUCGUGUAACGGCCAAGUGCUGGAGAACUCGGAGUGCUACCAGGCGCAGUACAG
rnacentral:misc_RNA from 1 species